ACCACUGGCUCCUAUGGUUCAGAUGACUCCCUUGUUUCUUUAAAGCACUGUGCUUUAAAGAAACAAGUGCUUUAAAGGGAGUGAGGAGGGAUAAAAUCAUCUGAACCAUAGGAGCCAGUGGU